GAAGGUUCAAGUCUUACCUGAUAUUCUCGUAACAGGUGGUAAUCAUGUAAAAUUGGUAAUGUGCCAUUCCCUCAGUCCUUCCAAUCCAAACUCUGAGAAUCGAUCAUUUACUACUUUGAAGAAAAAAUAUUAUAAACAUUAAGGAAAACAGAACAAAUCCCGCUGUCCGAAUAGCCAACACCACAUCCACGGCAAGCAAUGUAUACCGAGAUGGUCGUAGCCCCAAAUUAAAAUAAUACAAUACAGUGUGUCCUUGUUGUCAAUAUUCCUUCAUACGAUAAAUGAUUUCCUCCAUCGAUCGACAUCCAGUACAAUCCAGGGUGAGAACUGAUUCAUAUUUUUUAUUGGCCGUCGUGCGAGAGAAAGUGGUGCUUGAACGGCUCGACGAAAACAGUGAACACCGGCUAAAAUUCAAAACCGAUUUAUUUCAGUUGUCCAUUUCCUGAGGUUUUUCUUGACGUCGCCAGUUUGCCCGAUUAUGUAACGCUUCUGAGGGAUUUUAUCAGAGGGCAGCUCAUCGUACGAAAGAAGUCGAGAAAGAUCUUGAAGACCAGACGGAUCUGCUUUUCACUGCAGCACGGUGUAUUGCAACAGGAGAUGGGACCUGGGAACUCCAUGUCUGAAGGGAGAGGCUUUAAGAACUAUGAAACCCUUUGGUAUCAACAAUUUGAUAUCAUCAUGAAAUAUCAUCAGGGUAGGCCGUGGACCACCAGAACCGUUACAAGGAUAAGCAAUGAAUGAAAAUUAGACUGAGGAGCUUCAGAAGUCCGACAGAAUCAAGCAAUAAAAUGUAUUAUAUGUCCAAUAA